rnacentral:rRNA from 1 species
CUACUCUGCCACCUGAUGGAUAGCUCGGCUCAAGAGCCGACGAAGGACGUGCCAAGCUGCGAAAAGCUCCAGCAAGCCGCACGGAGGCAUCGAACUGGAGAUCUCCUAAUGGGAAUCCCCACCGCAAUUGCUUCGCGCAAUGGGGAACACCGGGAAUUGAAACAUCUCAGUACCGGUAGGAAAAGAAAGCAAUACGCGACAUCGUUAGUAACCGCGAGUGAACGCGAUCCAGUCCAAACCGAAGCCCUCACGGGCAAUGUGGUGUUCGGACUGACACUCACCGCUCGAACCCUUCUGUGAACUCUCCUGGAACGGAGGAUGAUACAGGGUGACAAUCCCGUAACAGAAGCCAGUACAGCGUGCGUCAGCUCCAGAGUACCGAGGGUUGGAUAUCCCUCGGGAACAACGCGGGCAUCGACCGCGAAGACUCAGUACUCCUUGAGACCGAUAGCGAACAAGUAGCGUGAGCGAACGCUGAAAAGCACCCCACAACGGGAGGUGCAAUAGGGCUUGAACCCAGGUGGCGAUAGAGCGACGGGGCAUACAAGGCCCCACGAAAAACGACCGAGACGCGAGUCUCCAGUAGGAAUCGUGGGGAGCCGAUGUUCCGUCGUGCGUUUUGAAAAACGAGCCAGGGAGUGCAUCUGACCGGCAAGUCUAACUCGAGCAUCGAGGCAGGCGCAGGGAAACCGAUACGGCCGCAGCCCUCACGGGCCAGGGCCACCGUCUUCAAGGGCGGGGAGCCGACCGGAUGCGACCCGAAACCAGGCGAUCUAUGCGUGGGCAAGGUGAAGCGUGCCGAAAGGCACGUGGAGGCCUGUUAGAGUUGGUGUCCUUCAAUACCCUCUCGUGACCUACGUAUAGGGGUGAAAGGCCCAUCGAGCCUGGCAACAGCUGGUUCCAGUCGAAACAUGUCGAAGCAUGACCUCUGCUGAGGUAGCUCGUGGGGUAGAGCGACCGAUUGGGAGACCCGCCAUCGAGAGAUGUCGGCCUCCCUGUCAAACUCCGAACCUACGAGCGCCACAGACGCAGGGAGUCCGGUGUGCGGGGUAAGCCUGUGCACCAUGAGGGAGACAACCCAGAGCUGGGUUAAGGUCCCAAAGUAUGGAUUAAGUGCAACCGAAGGUAGUCUCGAGCCCUAAACAGCCGGGAGGUGAGCUUAGAAGCAGCUACCCUCUAAGAAAAGCGUAACAGCUUACCGGCCGAGGUUCGAGGCGCCGAAAAUGAUCGGGGCUCAAAUCCAUCACCGAGACCUGGCGACACCCCCCAUAGGGGUGAUUCCGUAGACUGGCGCUCCAGUCGGGUGGAAGCACGGACGAGAGUUCGUGUGGACCGACUGGUGACGAUAAUCCUGGCCAUAGUAGCAGCGAUAGUCGGGUGAGAACCCCGACGGCCGAAUGAGCAAGGGUUCCUCGACAAUGCUGAUCAGUCGAGGGUUAGCCGAUCCUAAGUCACACCGUAAGUCGAAUGUGACGACAGGGAAACUGGUUAAUAUUCCAGUGCUCACAGACAGUAAACGCCGACGCCUUGGGAACAAUCGAGCUGGGCCAUCGCCCAGUCGAAUUAUGCAACUCCGUGGAAGCCGUAACGGCACGAAGCGGACGAACCAUGAGACAGCGAAAGUCGAUCGUACCUAGGGCCCGUGAAAAGGCAAGUCUGUGACUCGUACCAAGAACCGACACAGGUGCUCAUGGCGGCGAAAGCCAAGGCCUGUCGGGAACAACCGACGUUAGGGAAUUCGGCAAGUUAGUCCCGUACGUUCGCAAUAAGGGAUGCCUGCCUCGCAGAGAGGCAGGUCGCAGUGACUCGGGCGCUCCGACUGUCUAGUAACAACAUAGGUGACCGCAAAUCCGCAAGGACUCGUACGGUCACUGAAUCCUGCCCAGUGCAGGUAUCUGAACACCUCGUACAAGAGGACGAAGGACCUGUCAACGGCGGGGGUAACUAUGACCCUCUUAAGGUAGCGUAGUACCUUGCCGCUUCAGUAGCGGCUUGCAUGAAUGGAUCAACGAGAGCGCCACUGUCCCAACGUUGGGCCCGGUGAACUGUACGUUCCAGUGCGGAGUCUGGAGACCCCCAAGGGGAAGCGAAGACCCUAUAGAGCUUUACUGCAGGCUGUCGCUGAGACACGGUCGCUAAUGUGCAGGAUAGGUAGGAGACGUUACACAGGUACCCGCGCUAGCGGGCCACCGAGUCAACACUGAAAUACUACCCAUUAGUGACUGUGACUCUCACUCCUGGCGGAGGACACCGGUAGCCGGGCAGUUUGACUGGGGCGGUACGCGCUUGAAAAGAUAUCGAGCGCGCCCUAUGUCCACCUCAUCCGAGUCGGAGACUCGGAGCAGAGCGCAAGAGCAUACGGUGGGCUGACACUGUCCUUCACAACGAGGGACGGUGACGCGAAAGCGUGGUCUAGCGAACCAAUUAUCCUGCUUGAUGCGGGAAAUUGAUGACAGAAAAGCUACCUUAGGGAUAACAGAGUCGUCACCGGCAAGAGCACAUAUCGACCCGGUGGCUUGCUACCUCGAUGUCGGUUCCCUCCAUCCUGCCCGUGCAGAAGCGGGCAAGGGUGAGGUUGUUCGCCUAUUAAAGGAGGUCGUGAGCUGGGUUUAGACCGUCGUGAGACAGGUCGGCUGCUAUCUAUUGGGGGUGUAACGGUACCUGACGGGAACGUUCGUAUAGUACGAGAGGAACUACGAAUGGUGACCACUGGUGUACGGGUUGUUCGAGAGAGCACGUGCCCGGCAGCCACGUCACACGGGGUAAGAGCUGAACGCAUCUAAGCUCGAAACCCACCUGGAAAAGAGGUACCACUAUGAUCACCCGUAGAAGACGGGUUAGAUAGACUCGGGGUGUGCGCGCCAAGGCAACGAGGCGUUAAGCCCGCGAGCACUAACAGAUCAUG